CACACAUGAUUUCCAGUAAAUGGAGAGAAGAGGAACAACACUUAUCCCGUGAUCGAAGUUCAUGAGAACAAGGAGGAACCUGAAACUGAAAGAGUUCAAUCAGUUCAGACUCCAUUUUGAGUUGACAGAACAGGAGGAGGAAAACUGAAGGCUGAAGCAGGACUGACUGAAGUGCAGAAGAUGAGUGUUUGUGUGGAGGAAGAGGAGGACAGAGCAGAGUCUGCAGCAUCCAGCUGUCUGUCUAUGAAGAGUGACCGGUCCAAAAAUGUUAUUCCUCCAGACUUCAGUCCUGAACCUGGACCCUCAGACACAAAAGAGAGGAAGAGGAGUCCUGUUCCUGUGGAGGAGCAGCCGUCCUGCUGUGCUUUGUGU